GCGUUGUGGUUAGCACUCCCGUAGACAUGGAUGGGACACAUAUGAGGUUGAGGCACCGCUGAGUUUUCAGCGCUCGACCCAUUUUU